GUGCUUGCUUCAGCAGCAUAUAUACUAAAACUGGAAUGAUACAGAGAAGAUUAGCCUGGACUCUGCACAAGAAAUAAAAUUAAAUAAAUAAAUAAAAAUAUUUGU
rnacentral:snRNA from 1 species